GAUGAACGCUGGCGGCGUGCCUAAUACAUGCAAGUCGAGCGAACAGACGAGGAGCUUGCUCCUCUGACGUUAGCGGCGGACGGGUGAGUAACACGUGGAUAACCUACCUAUAAGACUGGGAUAACUUCGGGAAACCGGAGCUAAUACCGGAUAAUAUAUUGAACCGCAUGGUUCAAUAGUGAAAGACGGUUUUGCCGUCACUUAUAGAUGGAUCCGCGCCGCAUUAGCUAGUUGGUAAGGUAACGGCUUACCAAGGCAACGAUGCGUAGCCGACCUGAGAGGGUGAUCGGCCACACUGGAACUGAGACACGGUCCAGACUCCUACGGGAGGCAGCAGUAGGGAAUCUUCCGCAAUGGGCGAAAGCCUGACGGAGCAACGCCGCGUGAGUGAUGAAGGUCUUCGGAUCGUAAAACUCCGUUAUUAGGGAAGAACAAAUGUGUAAGUAACUAUGCACGUCUUGACGGUACCUAAUCAGAAAGCCACGGCUAACUACGUG
rnacentral:rRNA from 1 species